rnacentral:tRNA from 1 species
UUAGUUAAAGCUAAAUAUGAGGCAUCUCAAUGUUAAUGAGAAUAUUGAUUUAAUAAAUCUAACUAAA